UAAGAAGCAUGAAUAUGGAAGUAUUCUAGCUGCAUCCAGGAAAGGUAAGGCACAAAUAAAAAUAAAGCAACCUUCUCCCCCAUUGCCCCCUGGCAUGCUUUAACGGUGACCUCAAGGAGCCACAUCUAGAUGGGAGAGGGAGUUCACUUUCCAUGGCCCAUUCAGCCUAAGCUCCU
rnacentral:sRNA from 1 species